rnacentral:rRNA from 1 species
UUUGGACCAUGGGGGAAACCCUGAUCCAGCCAUCCCGCGUGUAUGAUGAAGGCCUUCGGGUUGUAAAGUACUUUUGGCGGAGAAGUAACGGUAUCCCCUAAUACGGGAUACUGCUGACGGUAUCUGCAGAAUAAGCUUCGACUACCUACGUACAAGCACCCGCGGUAAUACGUAGGGUGCAAGCGUUAAUCGGAAUUACUGGGCUUAAAGCGCGUGUAGGCGGUUCGGAAAGAAAGAUGUGAAAUCCCAGGGCUCAACCUUGGAACUGCAUUUUUAACUGCCGAGCUAGAGUAUGUCAGAGGGGGGUAGAAUUCCACGUGUAGCAGUGAAAUGCGUAGAUAUGUGGAGGAAUACCGAUGGCGAAGGCAGCCCCCUGGGAUAAUACUGACGCUCAGACACGAAAGCGUGGGGAGCAAACAGG